AGUGAACGCUGGCGGUAGGCCUAACACAUGCAAGUCGAACGGCAGCACAGUAAGAGCUUGCUCUUACGGGUGGCGAGUGGCGGACGGGUGAGGAAUAUAUCGGAAUCUACUUUUUCGUGGGGGAUAACGUAGGGACACUUACGCUAAUACCGCAUACGACGUACGGGUGAAAGCAGGGGAUCUUCGGCCCUUGCGCGAUUGUAUGAGCCGAUGUCGGAUUAGCUAGUUGGCGGGGUAAAGGCCCACCAAGGCGACGAUCCGUAGCUGGUCUGAGAGGAUGAUCAGCCACACUGGAACUGAGACACGGUCCAGACUCCUACGGGAGGCAGCAGUGGGGAAUAUUGGACAAUGGGCGCAAGCCUGAUCCAGCCAUACCGCGUGGGUGAAGAAGGCCUUCGGGUUGUAAAGCCCUUUUGUUGGGAAAGAAAAGCAGCAGGUUAAUACCCCGCUGUUCUGACGGUACCCAAAGAAUAAGCACCGGCUAACUUCGUG
rnacentral:rRNA from 1 species